GGGGUCGACCGGAAUUGACAGGAUGGAAGAUCAGUGUGUAAGCAUGCAGCGAAUUGAGAAAACAUCGCUAUAAUCAGGAUUCUCAAACUAUAAAAGGCGAAAAUAAUUACGCUCUUGCUGCUUAAUCUUAACCGAGUUAAGAUUGCCUUUGUUACACUUUAGAAGUGUAAGCGAGAUGUUUCCCAAGAGCCCGGUCUGGCGGCACUUGAUAUGGAAGCACUGAAAAGCUAGAAUAAGGAUAAAAGCGCUUCGAUUUUGUCUCGAAAACCCUAGAAGCUAAGGAUUAAGCCGGAUGUUUGUGUCCACCUUGGUCUCUACAAUUAAGCACAAAAUAAGCAUGUAGAAAGCGCAACUCAUCCCAUGUUUGGACGAGGGUUCGAAUCCCUCCGACUCCACUU
rfam:Pedobacter glucosidilyticus strain DD6b PBAC_contig000003, whole genome shotgun sequence.